rnacentral:rRNA from 1 species
UACGUAGGGUGCGAGCGUUGUCCGGAGUUAUUGGGCGUAAAGGGCUCGUAGGCGGUCUGUCGCGUCGAAAGUGAAAACCCAGGGCUUAACCCUGGGCCUGCUUCCGAUACGGGCAGACUAGAGGUAUGCAGGGGAGAACGGAAUUCCUGGUGUAGCGGUGAAAUGCGCAGAUAUCAGGAGGAACACCGGUGGCGAAGGCGGUUCUCUGGGCAUUACCUGACGCUGAGGAGCGAAAGUGUGGGGAGCGAACAGG